AGCAGUCGCCGCGGGAAUACGUAGGUCCCGAGCGUUGUCCGGAUUUAUUGGGCGUAAAGCGAGCGCAGGCGGUUAGAUAAGUCUGAAGUUAAAGGCUGUGGCUUAACCAUAGUACGCUUUGGAAACUGUUUAACUUGAGUGCAAGAGGGGAGAGUGGAAUUCCAUGUGUAGCGGUGAAAUGCGUAGAUAUAUGGAGGAACACCGGUGGCGAAAGCGGCUCUCUGGCUUGUAACUGACGCUGAGGCUCGAAAGCGUGGGGAGCAAACAGGAUUAGAUACCCCCGUAGUCCCUGUCUCUUAUACA
rnacentral:rRNA from 1 species